CCGGCGACCGGCGCACGGGUGAGUAACACGUAUGUAGCCUGCCCUAUGCAGGGGGAUAACCCGGAGAAAUCCGGCCUAAUACCGCGUAACACCUUUUGGGAGCAUUCCCGGGAGGUUAAAGGAGAGAUCCGGCAUAGGAUGGACAUGCGUCGCAUUAGGUAGACGGCGGGGUAACGGCCCACCGUGCCGACGAUGCGUAGGGGUUCUGAGAGGAAGGCCCCCCACACUGGUACUGAGACACGGACCAGACUCCUACGGGAGGCAGCAG
rnacentral:rRNA from 1 species